UACCUGCAGCCCAAGUGGUGGUCGAUUUUAUUGAGUCUAAAACGUUCGUAGCCGGUUUGGUAAAUCUUUGGGUAAAUCGGGAGGCUCAACUUUCCGACUUCCGAAGAGACUGCCAAACUUGGGACCGGGAGAGGCUAGAGGUACUUCUGGGGUAGGGGUAAAAUCCUGUAAUCCUGGAAGGACCACCGGUGGCGAAGGCGUCUAGCUAGAACGGAUCCGACGGUGAGGGACGAAGCCCUGGGUCGCAAACGGGAUUAGAUACCCCGGUAGUCCAGGGUGUAAACGCUGCAGACUUGGUGUUGGGGGCCCUUCGGGGCGUCCAGUGCCGGAGAGAAGUUGUUAAGUCUGCUACUUGGGGAGUACGGUCGCAAGACUGAAACUUAA
rnacentral:rRNA from 1 species